UACAGAGGGUGCGAGCGUUGUUCGGAAUUAUUGGGCGUAAAGGGUGCGUAGGCGGUUUGGUAAGUCUUGUGUGAAAUCUUCGGGCUUAACUCGAAGUCUGCACUGGAAACUGCCGGGCUUGAGUGUGGGAGAGGUGAGUGGAAUUCCCGGUGUAGCGGUGAAAUGCGUAGAUAUCUGGAAGAACACCAAAGGCGAAGGCAGUGUCCUGGGUGGUCGCUGACGCUGAGAGGCGAAAGCCAGGGGAGCGAACGGG
rnacentral:rRNA from 1 species